rnacentral:rRNA from 1 species
AACGAACGCUGGCGGCAUGCCUAACACAUGCAAGUCGAACGAGACCUUCGGGUCUAGUGGCGCACGGGUGCGUAACGCGUGGGAACCUGCCCUUAGGUUCGGAAUAACUCCCCGAAAGGGGUGCUAAUACCGGAUAAUGUCUUCGGACCAAAGAUUUAUCGCCUUUGGAUGGGCCCGCGUUGGAUUAGCUAGUUGGUAGGGUAAAAGCCUACCAAGGCGACGAUCCAUAGCUGGUCUGAGAGGAUGAUCAGCCACACUGGGACUGAGACACGGCCCAGACUCCUACGGGAGGCAGCAGUGGGGAAUAUUGGACAAUGGGCGAGAGCCUGAUCCAGCAAUGCCGCGUGGGUGAUGAAGGCCUUAGGGUUGUAAAGCUCUUUUACCCGGGAUGAUAAUGACAGUACCGGGAGAAUAAGCUCCGGCUAACUCCGUG